CAUUACUCAAGUUCCAAAUCUGUAAACUGUUGUGGGCAUGACAUAGAUAUUAGACUGUUGAGAAAAGGACCACCAGACUGCACCAAGUUCAAAGUAAUUACUGCACAAAUAGUCUAUACUUGUAUAGAAUUAUUAUUUAUUUUACAGAUUAAAGAAAUACAAAAUAAAUGAUUUAUCCUUUCCGUGCGGCCCAGGAGCGAAUGGGCCUGGCAGUCAUGAGCUAAAAUCUCUAUUCAGAUCUACAUCAAAAUCAUGAAGAUGACAUUUAGCAGCAAUCCAACCCAGAAAGACAGUUGAACUCAAAUACACAACAAACUAUACUGUAGAGAGGUGGAGCUACAUAGUCAAUGAAUGCUUUGACAUUACAGUAUGUAGUCUACAAGAUAUUUGAGGAGAGGAUAGUGAUACACUCUUACUUGACAGGGCAUGAAGCCAGUCAUUCAGUCCCCAUGAAGAUGUUUUAUGCAAUUCUGCUUUUUUCAAUGUUCUUUGGUAGCAGUAAUGAGGAGGAAAUAAUAUCAGCCACAACUGAAGAGCGUGUUUUUGAGGGUGAUGGUGUUACUCUGUCCUGCAACUACACUGGCUCCUACAGUAGUGAUACUUUACUGUGGUACCAACAAUACACCAGAUCAGAACCAGAAUUCCUGCUUCUACUCACUGAAGGAGGGUUAAAGAUACAUAAUGAAUCGACCCACCCUCGCCUGUCUGUUAAACUAAAUGAAAAUAAGACCCGUGUGGAUCUGGAGAUCUCCUCUGCUGAAGUGACAGACUCUGCUCUGUACUACUGUGCUCUGAAGCCCACAGUGACAGGAAACCCAUAAACACUGUACAAAAACCUGACAACACCCAAUAUACUGUAGAAAGAAAGCCAUAACAGAAAACAUUUCACAUUUGUGUCCAGAGGAGGGGCUGUAUAAUCAAAGAUUCACAUGAAGCUUAUUGGAUGUUAUUGUUCAUUAGCUAGUCGGUCAGGUCUCUCACUGCUGUCUGUCUGUCUGUCUGUCUGUCUGUUUCUCAAAGGUCUAGCAAGAUGUUUCUUAAAAAAUAUAUAUAUAUAUUUUUUAAAUGUAGGGGGUAGAUCAGCUUUAAUAUUGCUAAUAGAUUGUAGCUUCCAUCAAUGUAAUUGUCUGCAUCACAAUGCCAAGAGUGUGCAAAGGUUGGCUACUUUGAACAAUCUCAAAUAUAAAAUACAUGUUGAUUUGUUUAACACUUUUUUGGUUACUACAUGAUUCCAUGUGUUAUUUCAUAGUUUUGAUGUCUUCACUAUUAUUCUACCAUGUGGCUCAGUUGGUAGAGCAUGGUGUUUGCAACACCAGGGUUGUGGGUUAGAUUCCCAUGGUGGACCAGUAUGAAAAUGUAUGCAUUCACUACUGUAAGUCGCUCUCGAAAGAGCGUCUGCUAAAUGACUAAAAUGUAAAUUCUACAAUAUAGAAAAUAGUAAAAAAAGAAAGAAAGAAAAGCCAUGGAAUGAGUAGGUGUGUCUAGACUUUGACUGGUACUGUACAUACAUAUACAUAUAAAUAGAUAUAUAUACAUAUAUUUAAAAAAUAUAUUUUUUCCUUUAUUACUUUCUAACCCUACCACCCCUCCUCUAAUUGGAAUAAACUAGUGAACAACAACGCUUAGGCCUCUACUUCCAGC
ensembl:lncRNA